rnacentral:rRNA from 1 species
UACAGAGGGGGCGAGCGUUAUUCGGAAUUAUUGGGCGUAAAGGGCGCGUAGGCGGCCUUGUAAGUCUUGGGUGAAAUCCCUCAGCUCAACUGAGGAACUGCCUCGGAUACUGCAGGGCUUGAGGCCGGGAGAGGGUAGUGGAAUUCCCAGUGUAGCGGUGAAAUGCGUAGAUAUUGGGAGGAACACCGGUGGCGAAGGCGGCUACCUGGACCGGUUCUGACGCUGAUGCGCGAAAGCGUGGGGAGCAAACAGGAUUAGAUACCCUGGUAGUCCACGCUGUAAACGAUGGGUGCUCGGUGUCGCGGGUAUCGACCCCUGCGGUGCCUUAGCUAACGCGUUAAGCACCCCGCCUGGGGAGUACGGUCGCAAGGCUGAA